GAGGAAUAUUGGACAAUGGGCGCAAGCCUGAUCCAGCCAUGCCGCGUGCAGGAUGACGGUCCUAUGGAUUGUAAACUGCUUUUACACAGGAAGAAACAACGCUACGUGUAGCGUCUUGACGGUACCGUGAGAAUAAGGAUCGGCUAACUCCGUGCCAGCAGCCGCGGUAAUACGGAGGAUCCAAGCGUUAUCCGGAAUCAUUGGGUUUAAAGGGUCCGUAGGCGGUUUAGUAAGUCAGUGGUGAAAGCCCAUCGCUCAACGGUGGAACGGCCAUUGAUACUGCUAGACUUGAAUUAUUAGGAAGUAACUAGAAUAUGUAGUGUAGCGGUGAAAUGCUUAGAGAUUACAUGGAAUACCAAUUGCGAAGGCAGGUUACUACUAAUAGAGUGACGCUGAUGGACGAAAGCGUGGGUAGCGAAC
rnacentral:rRNA from 1 species